GAUAAUUUCUACUUCGCCUUAACCAGGACGGUUAGAUAAGAAAGUCCUUCAACAUCUUAGAGUGACUUUGUUUUACACGACACUAUCAGUUUAACUAAGUCUUAGUUCAACAUUCUGAACGAUGGCUUCUUGGAUGGUUCUGGUAACAUUUUUUUGUGUCCUUUCGGUUCUCCGGCUGACCAACGGCCAGUCCUGCGUGUCUUCAAGCCAAUGUGCGGCCAACCAGUGCUGCAGAGACCCUGCUACCAACAGAGUGUUGGUUGAGGAUCCCCAGGGAUUUCUGGAGAUCGUCCAGCCCGGUUCGUCUGGCCAUUGUGUGGCGGGAGGGGCCCAGCCAGGGGACAUGUGUGACUCCACCUGCAGCUGUCCGGCAGGUUACGAGUGCUACAGUAGGAUUACAGGAGUGUGCUGUGCCCCUAGAACGUGCGUUACGGUUGAAGAAGCCAAUGCCGACCGCGAAUUCUGGCGCUGCCACCCGCCACCCGCCAAGAGGAGGAAGAGGUUCUUCCUGUCCCUGUGUCCUGAACUCCCACCCGCGGCAGCUGAGGGCGGCGCUCCAUAAAACUGAUCAGCGGCUGUUUUUGUGGAUGACUUGCGUACGAGCAAGCGUGUGGUUAGAUUAUUAGUGAUGUAAUCAUAGCGAUAACCACGAGAAAAAUAACUCGUUCUUGUCACAAGCAUCUUUGAAACAGUGACUUUCUGCUGAUAAAAGUGCUUUAAAAAAAUGCGAUUUUCUUCGAGGAUUUAUUUUUCUUAGUGUGGCGUGUCAUCGAGUUUUGUUUAUUUAUUUAUUUUUUUUUUAAUUGUAUCACCUUAUGCAUCUGGCCAAAGGUUUUGCACUUCAGUCUUUGCUUCAUUUGUUUUGUUUACUGGAGUUUAAUUGCAGAUAUCACCUUCUAAAAAUAGCCAAAUAUUUCGUAGAGUGCUGACAUUACAUAUAUAUACACAAAUGUCAUUCUCUGCUUCAUAUGUUAUGCUUGCUGAAAUUUGAAAACUUUCAAACGAAGGUAUCUACGUCAGCGAACAGACUCCUAUUUCGUCUCGUCUUUGGCAUGAUGAGGGUGUGUACUUCAGCAACUGAUCUGAAAGCUUCAGUUAUAUGCGGUUUUGAUUGAAAAUAUACACAGUAAACACUGUCACAACGUCAACAGUUAGCACUUUAACAUGGAACUCAUCAAAAAAAUUAUUCGCAAUCGGAAAAAUUCGCAAACAAGCCGCAUCGCUGUUUAUGUUGCAGGGUUUAAAGCUGCGGAAAAAGUCGCUGUUUAUAGUCCGAAAUUUACGGUAAAUAAUAACUUACCACAUACAUCACACCAUACCCACCUGUACUUAGUAACAUACACAGUAGCUGGCCACACACUGUGCGGGCUGUAGUUGCUCUCACUCAACAUCCUGAACUAGAAAUGCAAAAUGCAAACAUCCUGUUUUGUCAGAAUAAGUAAAUAAGCAGCCUGCAUUGCAGGCAUGAGAUGUAGAGCAGAAGCGGGCCAUACGUCAGGGGCGACAAUAGGAGCAAAACUUCAACUUUUCAGUUACAGGCCGUCCAGAACGAGGCAGCUCAAUUUGCAGCUUCGGGUUUCAUCUUCUAAAGGGGUGUACUUCUCAAAGAUUAAAAGAAAUCGACUGUGCGAUCGAAACCACAGAGGAAUACCUGGCCGUACGAUCACACUAAGGCGGAGGCUACAGUAGGUGUCACGUGUCAUCGGCGCCUCCUUGUCGAUCCAUCUCUCACCUGCUGUCGCCCACGCCGAGAGACGAGCGCCGUGUGUCAUCCUAGUGACUCAUAGAUAUCUACUACGCUCAGUAAAACACGGGAUAAACAUUCCUGCUUGAAAUGUACCACGCUCUAUCAGUUUAACUAAGUCUUCAACAUUCUGAAUGAUGGCUUCUUGGAUGGUUCUGGUAACCUUUUUUUGUGUCCUUUCGGUUCUCCGGCUGACCAACGGCCAGUCCUGCGUGUCUUCAAGCCAAUGUGCGGCCAACCAGUGCUGCAGAGACCCUGCUACCAACAGAGUGUUGGUGGAGAAUCUCCAGGGAUUUCUGAAGAUCGUCCAGCCCGGAUCGUCUGGCCAUUGUGUGGCGGGAGGGGCCCAGCCAGGGGAAAUGUGCGACUCCACCUGCAGCUGUCCGGCAGGUUACGAGUGCUACAGUAGGAUUACAGGAGUGUGCUGUGCGCCUAGAACGUGCUUCACGGUUGAAGAAGCCAAUGCCGACCGCGAAUUCUGGCGCUGCCGCCCGCCACCCGUCAAGAGGAGGAAGAGGUUCUUCCUGUCCAUGUGUCCUAAACUCCCACCCGUCAAGGCAGCAGAGGGCGGCGCUCCAUAAAACUGAUCAGCGGCUGUUUUUGUCUAUGGAUGACUUGCGUGCGAGCAAGCCUGUGGUUAGAUUAUUAGUAAUGUAACCAUAGCGAUAACCACGAGAAAAAUAACUCAAAUUCUUGUCACAAGCUACAUUGAAACAGCAACUUUCUGCUGAUAAAACUGCUUAAAAAAAUGCGA